UGUUGUUGAUGUUGUUGUUGAUGUUGUUGUUGAUGUUGUUGUUGUUGAUGUUGUUCAACAACAACAUCAACAACAUCAACAACAACAACAUCAACA
rnacentral:pre_miRNA from 1 species